rnacentral:lncRNA from 1 species
UCAAGGCAAGAGCCUCCGGUUUUUGGGUACCGACUGGGUGAAGCAGAGAGAGGUCUAACAGAGAAUCAUCCGCAAAGUGAGAAACCCAUUCAAGCCCUGCUAAAUCAUCAUCCUGUAAAACCCAAAAAAACCCAUAAAUUAAUUUCAAAUAAUUUCUUAAUUUAACAGAAAAUUCAAACAAAACUUGUUACUUCAAAGCUUGUUACCGGGACUAAGAGUUGGCUGGCCAGAGCAGACUCAGAGUCGGCAGAGACAAAGUUGCUUGAAUUGGAACUUUCAUCAUCCACAGAAACUGAGUCUUUUUCUUCUUCUUCUUCUUCUUCAACAGACCCAUCUUCGAAUUCGCCAUUAGAGAGGUCAAGAAGGUCGUCCACUGAAAAAUCUUCACUGGGUACACCAGAAAUUCCAGUGGCGCACCAAAACUCAUCAAUCAAAGCUUGCUGGUUCGACUUCAAGGUCAGUUCUCUGCGUAAACUUGAUUUCAAAGCCUUUGUGCAGAGCUCCAUUUCUACAAACCCAAAACCUCAACCAUCAAAAUUUAACCCAAAGAAAUAUACAAAAGAAUAAAUUAAACUUGUAAUUUGCUCUGCUUUAGUUCUACAUGGGUUUAAUUUACUGCAGUUUUUUAAUUAUAUUAUUUCAUUAUUUUAAAAGGGUGUACCUGAUAAGAUGAAAGAUGAGAGAAGAGGAAAAGGAGUUGAGGAAGAUGGAAACUGUGGAAGAUGAUGGGGUCACAGAGAGAGAGUUUGUUGGGUUAAAAAGCACUGAAAUAAAGGCUGGCGUUGUGGGC